GAUGAACGCUGGCGGCGUGCCUAAUACAUGCAAGUCGAGCGAACGGACGAGAAGCUUGCUUCUCUGAUGUUAGCGGCGGACGGGUGAGUAACACGUGGAUAACCUACCUAUAAGACUGGGAUAACUUCGGGAAACCGGAGCUAAUACCGGAUAAUAUUUUGAACCGCAUGGUUCAAAAGUGAAAGACGGUCUUGCUGUCACUUAUAGAUGGAUCCGCGCUGCAUUAGCUAGUUGGUAAGGUAACGGCUUACCAAGGCAACGAUGCAUAGCCGACCGGAGAGGGUGAUCGGCCACCCUGGAACUGAGACACGGUCCAGACUACUACGAGAGGCAGCAGUAGGGAAUCUUCCGCAAUGGGCGAAAGCCUGACGGAGCAACGCCGCGUGAGUGAUGAAGGUCUUCGGAUCGUAAAGCUCUGUUAUUAGGGAAGAACAUAUGUGUAAGUAACUGUGCACAUCUUGACGGUACCUAAUCAGAAAGCCACGGCUAACUACGUG
rnacentral:rRNA from 1 species